UCAUAUUUUGGGUAAUUUAGAUACAAAUUUAAGAGAGUUUUUAAAGUUAUUUUUUAUAAUGACAUGUAUGGAUAAUUUAGAUAAAGAAUAUGAAGUUAAGUUAGAUUAUUUUUUAAUAAUUGCAGAGGUGGCUAAUUUGGAUAUAGGUAUAAAGAGUUUACCUUAAAGAAAAUUUAUAAUGAAAGUGGGUAUUUUUCAUAACGAACCAUAAUAGAAUAAUGGCUACGAUAUUAGAGCCUACAUGAUUGAUUGAUGCCGAAUAUUUUGUGAGAAUUUUUAGAAUUUAUCUUUUUUCCUAAUGUGUAAUCAAUGCAAAGUCUUCUAAUGAAAAAAAAAUUAAAAAACAUAGCUAAGAAUCAAAGAUUUGGCACGAAAAGGGUGGUAGUCUCUCACCUUGGACGGGCAUUAUCGGCUCCUUUUAUCAAAAUCAAAAUAGGCUUGUUGGGUUGUAAAUAAAGAAAAAUAAAUCAAUUUGAAACACGGACAUGCAAAUACUCCUGUUUGGCAACAAGUGUUAAAGUUUAACACCCAUCACAUCGGAUGUUUGAUGCUAAUUAGGAGUAUUAAACAUAAGCUAAUUACAAAACUAAUUGCACAGAUGGAGUGUAAUUCGCGAGAUGAAUCUAUUAAGCCUAAUUAGUUCAUGAUUUGACAAUGUGGUGCUCAUGUUUAGUUCU
rnacentral:lncRNA from 1 species